ACUUCUCUCAAUCUCUAAAGGGUUGUUCGGAUUGUCAGUACCAGUGAAAUGGUUUAUGAUCUUUUUUUUCUCUCAUGAUCUUAGCUAUUUACUGAUUUCUUCAUUUUCCAGUCGUGCAAUUCACCAAUUCCAUUGCCAAAUGAAAGAAAAUAUUUUGACACAACUACAGAUCCUUCCUUUCAGUUAAUGAGCAUAUUCAUUGUACUUCGAAACACGGUGUUUGGAUCAAGAUCAACGGAUACCUCUAUUUGUUAAGGUUCCACAGCUUGGUGAUAAUGGCCUAUCGCAGUGAGGAUGGCACACUAGGCUUGGCACCCAACAGGUAAUUAAGAUGAUGCUUUUGUUGCGGGAGAUUAUAAGGUAAAAGUAUGGAUGUGUUGAUCAGUUUCAUCUUUCUUUCUUUAUAUUUUCUUUUUGGUGAUAUCAUCUAUCUCUUGAUCUUGUUUUCUAUGAAACUGAUAUGGGUGCAUCUCUUAGCAAUUUCAU